UACGAAGGGGGCUAGCGUUGCUCGGAAUCACUGGGCGUAAAGCGCACGUAGGCGGAUUGUUAAGUCAGGGGUGAAAUCCCGGAGCUCAACUCCGGAACUGCCUUUGAUACUGGCGAUCUUGAGUCCGGGAGAGGUGAGUGGAACUGCGAGUGUAGAGGUGAAAUUCGUAGAUAUUCGCAAGAACACCAGUGGCGAAGGCGGCUCACUGGCCCGGUACUGACGCUGAGGUGCGAAAGCGUGGGGAGCA
rnacentral:rRNA from 1 species